AGAGUUUGAUCCUGGCUCAGGAUGAACGCUAGCUACAGGCUUAACACAUGCAAGUCGAGGGGCAGCAUGUUGGUUGCUUGCAACCGAUGAUGGCGACCGGCGCACGGGUGAGUAACGCGUAUCCAACCUACCCUUGUCCAUCGGAUAACCCGUCGAAAGGCGGCCUAACACGAUAUGCGGUUCACCGCAGGCAUCUAACGUGAACGAAAUGUGAAGGAGAAGGAUGGGGAUGCGUCUGAUUAGCUUGUUGGCGGGGUAACGGCCCACCAAGGCUACGAUCAGUAGGGGUUCUGAGAGGAAGGUCCCCCACAUUGGAACUGAGACACGGUCCAAACUCCUACGGGAGGCAGCAGUGAGGAAUAUUGGUCAAUGGACGAGAGUCUGAACCAGCCAAGUAGCGUGCAGGAUGACGGCCCUAUGGGUUGUAAACUGCUUUUAUAGGGGGAUAAAGUGUGUCACGUGUGGCAUAUUGCAGGUACCCUAUGAAUAAGGACCGGCUAAUUCCGUGCCAGCAGCCGCGGUAAUACGGAAGGUCCGGGCGUUAUCCGGAUUUAUUGGGUUUAAAGGGAGCGUAGGCCGUUUGGUAAGCGUGUUGUGAAAUGUCGGGGCUCAACCUGGGCAUUGCAGCGCGAACUGCCAGACUUGAGUGCGCAGGAAGUAGGCGGAAUUCGUCGUGUAGCGGUGAAAUGCUUAGAUAUGACGAAGAACUCCGAUUGCGAAGGCAGCCUGCUGUAGCGCAACUGACGCUGAAGCUCGAAAGCGUGGGUAUCGAACAGGAUUAGAUACCCUGGUAGUCCACGCGGUAAACGAUGGAUGCUCGCUGUUUGCGUCUGACGUAAGCGGCCAAGCGAAAGCGUUAAGCAUCCCACCUGGGGAGUACGCCGGCAACGGUGAAACUCAAAUGAAUUGACGGAAGG
rnacentral:rRNA from 1 species